rnacentral:rRNA from 1 species
UGCCCUAGUAACGGCGAGUGAAGCGGCAACAGCUCAAAUUUGAAAUCUGGCUCUCGGGCCCGAGUUGUAAUUUGUAGAGGAUACUUUUUGAUGCGGUGCCUUCCGAGUUCCCUGGAACGGGACGCCAUAGAGGGUGAGAGCCCCGUCUGGUUGGAUGCCAAAUCUCUGUAAAGUUCCUUCGACGAGUCGAGUAGUUUGGGAAUGCUGCUCUAAAUGGGAGGUAUAUGUCUUCUAAAGCUAAAUACCGGCCAGAGACCGAUAGCGCACAAGUAGAGUGAUCGAAAGAUGAAAAGCACUUUGAAAAGAGAGUUAAAAAGUACGUGAAAUUGUUGAAAGGGAAGCGUUUAUGACCAGACUUGGGCUUGGUUAAUCAUCUGGGGUUCUCCCCAGUGCACUUUUCCAGUCCAGGCCAGCAUCAGUUUUCCCCGGGGGAUAAAGACUUCGGGAAUGUGGCUCUCUUCGGGGAGUGUUAUAGCCCGUUGUGUAAUACCCUGGGGGGGACUGAGGUUCGCGCAUCUGCAAGGAUGCUGGCGUAAUGGUCAUCAACGACCCGUCUUGAAACACGGACCAAGGAGUCGUCUUCGUAUGCGAGUGUUCGGGUGUCAAACCCCUACGCGUAAUGAAAGUGAACGCAGGUGAGAGCUUCGGCGCAUCAUCGACCGAUCCUGAUGUUCUCGGAUGGAUUUGAGUAAGAGCAUACGGGGCCGGACCCGAAAGAAGGUGAACUAUGCCUGUAUAGGGUGAAGCCAGAGGAAACUCUGGUGGAGGCUCGCAGCGGUUCUGACGUGCAAAUCGAUCGUCAAAUAUGGGCAUG